AACGAACGCUAGCGGCAGGCUUAACACAUGCAAGUCGAGCGCCCCGCAAGGGGAGCGGCAGACGGGUGAGUAACGCGUGGGAAUCUACCCAUCUCUACGGAAUAACGCAUGGAAACGUGUGCUAAUACCGUAUACGUCCUCCGGGAGACAGAUUUAUCGGAGAUGGAUGAGCCCGCGUUGGAUUAGCUAGUUGGUGGGGUAAAGGCCUACCAAGGAGAAGAUCCAUAGCUGGUCUGAGAGGAUGAUCAGCCACACUGGGACUGAGACACGGCCCAGACUCCUACGGGAGGCAGCAGUGGGGAAUAUUGGACAAUGGGCGCAAGCCUGAUCCAGCCAUGCCGCGUGAGUGAUGAAGGCCCUAGGGUUGUAAAGCUCUUUCACCGGUGAAGAUAAUGACGGUAACCGGAGAAGAAGCCCCGGCUAACUUCGUGCCAGCAGCCGCCGUAACAC
rnacentral:rRNA from 1 species